GAUUCUUCCUUUUGGUGUUUUGUGGUGAGCUCAGCAUAAGGAGUCCCUACUGCUGUCAACACUUACACAUUUGAAGUCCACUGGAACUUCUCAGGUGUGACUGUACACCAUUUCAACCACUUCUGCAAUUUUCCUUCUCAUAGACUGCUUCAGAUUUGUUGGAUCCUACUGGCAGAAGACAUGAAAACCCUACUGGGAGAUCUCUGUGCCAUGUUUUUUUUCCUUGGCAUAAAGCACCUAGACUACAAGAGUGCCAGUCAUCUCUUCUUUUUUGCACUGUUCUUCGCAUCCCAUAUUUCUUAAUUUUCUUCUGAAGUCUCAUCUCUUCAAACUUUGUAACUAACGACAAGUAACGUUACGCACCACCCCUCCAAUUCUUUAUCUGAUCUUCAUAGUGUGAAAAGGAAUCACUUAUUUCCCUUUUUACAUCAAAAAUCUUCAGUUUCCAACACAAGCACAUCUUAUGCUGCUCAGGGAACCCACACAGACCUGUCUCACCUCUUCUCUAUUUUGUGCAGCUGAUGUUCCUCCAAUGUCAACUACCACUCAGCAGAGCAGCCAAGACUUGCUGUUGAUAUGUGAGCUGAACCCUAUAAGACAAUCAAGCCAGAAGUUGUACAGCCACCCUUAUUUUCUUGGCAGGAGCAGCAAGGUGACAGGGAGGUUGCUCUCCUAGUCAUACCUAAAAUAAAUAAAUUGAUAGAUAAUGCAGAGUGUGUAAGAUGCAUUUCCCAGAGAUGUCUUCAGUACAUUUUUGCAUUGUUUUCUGUUCUUUAGGACUGGUUUGUUUUCUUUAGGACUGGUGCAGUGGCACAUUGCAUUACUGCAAACUGGUGCUGAUGCUCAGAGGCUGUGCCCACUCUGUCAGGAUUCAAAAUAUUACCACAAUCUGCAAGUAAGCAAUAAGAUAUGACAAGGAGUGUGAUACUGUAACGUAACAAUGUACCUCUAGGGACACCUGCGAGGAAGGAGGUGAAACUGAGUGUAUUCAGCUGCCCAAGGUGCGAUUUUUAUCUCAAAAUAUAAUGUAAUAAGAUGUGAUAAUAAAAAGGCACAAAACUGAAACAGACCAUGUCUAUUUUAGAAUGUCAACUUAUUCAUGCAGUAUACUUUAAAAAAAAAAAAAAAAAUUGCAUUUCCUGUGUUCUAAACAAACUAUUUAUAAAAUUAGCAGAUAUAAUUUGAAAUAAUGUUUAUGAAGCCAUAAAGCCAUUAGCCACGGUAGUCCAGGAUUAUAAUUUCCUCACAUGAGUUCUUAUCCAAGAAACACACGAAAAAAAUGCAUUUCCAGUAUCAAACUGGAUCAAUGCUAGAACUGGGCUCAUUCUUUUGUCUCAUUUUAAAUAUCAGAGCUAUAGGAGCACCCAUAAAAAACAUAAUAUACAAUCAGGCAGUGAGUGGUGUGUUUCAGCAGUGGUGAUGGCGACAGGCAAGCAGAUUUUUACAAGCUCAGCAUGCAUGCAUGCUCUUGUUUAUCCCUGGUGAAAAUGCACAGCUAACAGUGGUGUCUGUGCUGGAAAAAU